rnacentral:lncRNA from 14 species
GGACAGAAAGCGGAGCUGCUCUGGCAGGGAAAAGCUGUCUGGGCUGGACUGGAGCUGCCUGGAUGGAGACGGCUGCCCUACGUGCCAUGAGUCUUCAAGCACUCCUUUGGGGUCCAUUUUCAAGCUUCCCUCUGUGACCCCAAAGACCAGGAAUGUGCUGUGCGCUACCCAAAUAAGAUCCUGCUUACAGGCCCAAAUCAUGCAGGGGACCAGGACACCAGGUCAUGGAAGUGUCUGCACAGGGUGCACUCCAUGAGCCUCCUUACUGCAAAGCGUAAGUUUCCCAUUUGCAAGCAGGAGGGGAAACACCCGGGGCAGCACGAUUGUGGCA